rnacentral:rRNA from 1 species
GACGAACGCUGGUGGCGUGCUUAACACAUGCAAGUCGAACGGUAAAGCCCUUCGGGGUACACGAGUGGCGAACGGGUGAGUAACACGUGGGUGAUCUGCCCUGCACUUCGGGAUAAGCCUGGGAAACUGGGUCUAAUACCGGAUAGGACUCCGGACUGCAUGGUCUGGGGUGGAAAGCUUUUGCGGUGUGGGAUGGGCCCGCGGCCUAUCAGCUUGUUGGUGGGGUGAUGGCCUACCAAGGCGACGACGGGUAGCCGGCCUGAGAGGGUGACCGGCCACACUGGGACUGAGAUACGGCCCAGACUCCUACGGGAGGCAGCAGUGGGGAAUAUUGCACAAUGGGCGCAAGCCUGAUGCAGCGACGCCGCGUGAGGGAUGACGGCCUUCGGGUUGUAAACCUCUUUCAGCAUCGACGAAGCGAAAGUGACGGUAGGUGCAGAAGAAGGACCGGCCAACUACGUGCCAGCCGCCGCGGUAA